CCUACGGGAGGCAGCAGUGAGGAAUAUUGGUCAAUGGACGAGAGUCUGAACCAGCCAAGUAGCGUGAAGGAUGACUGCCCUAUGGGUUGUAAACUUCUUUUAUAUGGGAAUAAAAUGUUCCACGUGUGGGAUUUUGUAUGUACCAUAUGAAUAAGGAUCGGCUAACUCCGUGCCAGCAGCCGCGGUAAUACGGAGGAUCCGAGCGUUAUCCGGAUUUAUUGGGUUUAAAGGGAGCGUAGGUGGAUUGUUAAGUCAGUUGUGAAAGUUUGCGGCUCAACCGUAAAAUUGCAGUUGAAACUGGGAGUCUUGAGUACAGUAGAGGUGGGCGGAAGUCGUGGUGUAGCGGUGAAAUGCUUAGAUAUCACGAAGAACUCCGAUUGCGAAGGCAGCUCACUGGACUGCAACUGACACUGAGGCUCGAAAGUGUGGGUAUCAAACAGGAUUAGAUACCCUUGUAGUC
rnacentral:rRNA from 1 species